GGCUGGUACUGUGAGCUGAGUGCAGCCUGCCAGGUUGAGUGAGUGGAACAAGCCCAGUGGGCCCAAGCAAAAUUCAGGCAAAGGUGCCACUUGCUGCAAAGGUUUUAGGCCAAAAAAGUGACACCCCAAGGAUCCUGUGACAUUUGCAUAUAAUCAAGUGUUAUUGUAGUAUCUUGGCAAUAUAUUGUAGUUUACUUCAAAAAGGCCCUUCAUGUCUCCUGUAAGAUGUAGUUUUGGGUGCUUUACAUUAUCCCAGCUAUUAUCCCUUCAAAGAUUUCCAUUACUCUUCAUUUAUUUUCCAUGUUGCUUAGCUGUUCUUUUUUUUAAACAUUUUUUUAACUGUUCUUCAUUGCACAUCCAGUCUAGAGUUAAUCCUAUCUGGACUGUUUUUAUUUAUUUAAAUGGCCAAAUAUUUUCUUUCCAAAAUUUCUAAUUAUAUCUGUCCUAUAUCUAUGUGUUGUUUUAUAGCUGUUUUGCUUCAUAAUUUCAGGGUAUUUUUAAAUGAGUGUGCCUUAAUUAAUUUUUCUGCGUAUCCUAAAUAUUCUUAUUUUAAAAUAUUUGUCAGUCUGGUUAAUAAAAUUAAUUCUUUCAUAAUAAAUUCGUGUAGUGCUUUUCGCCGUCUUUCUUAGCAUUGUGUGCAUUAAUUCGUUUUCUAGCUUUUGUUCACAGGCUCAUUUUGUUGCUGCUGCUGUUUCUCUUUCUCCCAUAAUGUUUGCCCUCCCUGGUUAGUGGUUAUGUCCACCAAGUUCUGGGGCCACCAGUCCACCAAGUUCUGGAGCCUCUGAUCCAGAAUAAGGUCUUCACAGGCAACUUGAGCUCCUGUCCCGUGAUGAUAUUAUCACUGAUCCAAUCAUUGCACCAGGGUUUAGUGGGAGUUGAGGGGCUGUGGUGAUUCCUUGUCACCAGACUGUGUCUAUCUCCUCUACCUUUCCGAGAGCCACAGCCUCUCAGCAGCUGGGGCCCAGGCAGCAGUGAGCAGCAGGCUUUGCUCAGCUUCCUUCACAAGACUGGUUCCUUCUUUGCCUGCCCUGGACAGCAGAGCACACCCAGUUCCUGCCUCCUGUAGGAGCCUGCCUGCAGCCUGAGAGCCUGGUGGGCUCAAGGCUGAAGCCCUCCCCUGUCAUUGUGUUCUAUUCCAAUUCUGAUUUGCAACUCUUUCUUCAUUUGCCAGAGGACCAUGGUUUCUUCUAUUUAUAUUUUUAAUCUUUCACUGGCAUAUGUCAGAGCAGCGGAUAUAUGUUACAGUGUGAUCAUAUUCUGCCAUCUCAACUCAUCCUCAAAUUUGAUAAAAAAAAUUAAUUUUCAAAGUUAUGCAGUGUUAUCCUAACAUUUUCUUAUAAAACAGGGCAAUUGUGUUCCUUUCAGCCCCCUGCUCUCGUCUCUCUUUACCAGAUCAUAGAAUUAAGGGUGACAUUCUUUCAGUAAAUCAUAUCAUGAUACACCAGCUGAAAGAUUAAUUCAAGAAAGAUGAUUAGAAAGAGACAUCUGAAUAGUUUAUCUGAGCCAUAAGGUAUGGACAUCAGUGACAGAAUUUAAAUAGCUGAAAUGAAUUCUUUUUUUUUUUUUUUCCUUGUCUUAACAAAUUAGCAUCAAAAUGUUUUUUACCAGUUUAGGUAAGGUGGUGUCAGAAAAUCUGACUGUUUUGCUGGUCAUAAAUUAUCACUGUGUUCAUGUGCUGACCGAAAUAAUAUUUUCUGUUAAUAGAAUACCAAGUGUGUGUUUUGGAACAAGAAUGAUAAUGUGGUAUUGUUCUGGGAUAUACCAUACUUUGUAACUUUUUCCAACAAUUUGUCAGCAGUCUAAGUAAAUAAGAAAUUUUACCUUCUGUUUAGUAAACUGUCUAUGUUCAUUACUUCAAGCUUAUAGAAAAACAAUGGUAAUCAACCUUGAAUUGAUAUGUCCUUUAGAAUUAGGGUUAUGUCUCCAAAAAUGCCAUAGUAAACUUUAGUUAGUGGCCGUACUUUCCAGUGUUCUGCUGAGUUGAUAUUAGCCAGUAUCUCAUCAUCAGCUUUCCAUCCAACCUCAAACAAUGCCAGGGAAACAGCCUCCCCCAGAUUAAAAAGAUAGCAUUUACAU